CAUCUCUCCAGGCUUAGAACAACCAGAUGGCUCUCACCAGGGCUCACCCUGUCUCUGGUUCCCUCAACAGAAGCCUUUCAUCAGCAUCCCAGCCAGGCUGCCCUCACCGAGGGCUCCUGCCACGCUAGAAGACCUGGACAUGUUCCCAGAGGCUAAGGUUGGGUCACAGGAAUCAGGCUGUCGCCUUGAAUAGGCUUGCCUUCCCUCCUCCUCUGCUCGGCCAUGGUGGUGGAGAUGAGAGCUGCUCUUUCUACCCCAAAGGACCUACAGGUAGGGUGGGCCCCGAUGCUGUCUUGCACCUGUCUAUGCCAUGCUACCUUCUUUCUUUCUUUCUUUCUUUCUUUCUUUCUUUCUUUUGCACUAGGGAUCGAACUUACAACCUCAGGCUUGCCAGGCAGGCGCUUAUGCCCCUGAGCUAAAUCCCCAGCUGUGACCUUCUUUCUUCUUAAGCAGGGAAUGCACUUGUAUGAAAUAGGAACAUGUGCUCAGCUGGAGCUGGGAGAGGAAAGAAGGAUUUUGCCAUUGAAAGAAGAAAGUGACCAAAAUGUGGAGAGCCAAAAGAUCCCAGAGAGGCAGGCCUGGUAUACAGGAGUCACAGAUACCAUCCCAGGCCACCCAUGACAAAGGGAGCCUUGGCUGGGGGCCCACUGGUCCCACGCACCUUCCUCCUCACUCUCACCCUGCUCCUUUGGUCCAGGACUUCGUGGGGGAUCUCAGUGCAGGCCGCAGCAGCCCCAGGGAAGGAAGAAGUUGCUGCCGCGGGCAUCAUGAGGUUGGUGUUUAUUGAUCGGCUGCCUUUAGCCAGCACCACCACAGGGAAGAGGCAGCUGUGCCCUCAGAACCCGCAGCUGCCAGGCAACAGCACGGCUGCUCAGCUGCCUACAAAGCACCUGCCAUUUUUACUGUGUACCAAACCCCGCUUCCUAUUAGACUGCACUCUCAGUUACAGAGAACUCUAACCCAGAGGGAGAACUGUAAAUGAUCACACGCUGUGUUGAGGAUCAUCCAAAAAUCUGCCACACAAAGUUUAAGAAACCAGUGAAGCCUUUGAUUUCUUUAAAAAUGUUAAGUGGUUUUGUGAUGGCGCAGGCCUGGGCUCCCCGUGGAACUGAGCCUGCUGGCAGGCACUGGGGAGCUGGGGAGCGAGCAGGGGAGUGGUAGGUGAGCAACAGCUGCGAAAGCAGCCUCACGUCCAGCGGAGAACAGAAGCUCGGCUCAGCUAGUCUCUAGGAAGAGCUCCAUGUCUGCCCGGCCCAAUCAGAAAAGAAGCUAAACCCAAACUUCACCCACCCUGGCAAGAGAAUUUCUGAGAAGAGCAGAAAUUAUAUGGUUGGCUUUUGCUCCAUCACCAACCCAGCCAUCCUGCGACCUAACCUGGGAGCCCUUCUCAGCCUUCCAGGUGCUCAGAGGAAGGCAGGCAGGAAAAACUGUCACCACCAACUGAGCGCAGUGUGGCCAGAAAGACCACACACACUGCGCCAGGCAGAACGCUAAACACCCUCUAUGCAUGAUCUCUCUUAAUAUCUCCUCCUUUCAUCCACAUAAUCAGUCUUUCUGCUGUGACAAAGGUACCCUAAGUAUCUUCAUUUUCCGAAUGAGGAAACCAAGACUCGGAGAGUAUACAGCUGGUAAAGAACAGAAAUUUUUCUUUUUUUCCCUUUCUUUUCUUUUCUUCCUGGUACCAAAAGUCUUCGUGUUACAGGCAGCUGAGUUAGUUAGAAAUACUCUAGGCAGUCAGACAGGGCUAGGUCCUCCAAGGAGCCAGUGCCUUGCAACUGUGCCCAGGUACCUUGCAACUGUGGGGAGACAGACACCUCCUUCUGUGGGUCAGGCCUCAAGACAAAAGAUCAAACAAAUGCACCCACAUCCUAAGGACUGAUAUUCUAACUAGUCUCCACCACUCUGAGGAAAUCAGGAGUCACCAUCCCAACCCCCGGCUGGAAGAGUCCCUGCUCCCUAAGAAUGCCUGCUUUCUACAUGACUCUCUUCCCCAUUUUUUCUUAAUUUAAUCAAUUGUACCUGAACAGUUAACCUUAUUGGUUAACUAUAGCUCUGCCCCACCUUACGCCCAUCUGCCUUGGGAGUUCCCCGUUUUCCCCACCUUGAAUCCGUCUCACCCCAUGAUUUUACUCUGUAAAACUCCCUGGAAAAGGCAGAAUCUCUGGUGACCAGCUCGGGGCCCCUUCUGUCUCUCUCAGACAGAACCUUCCUUUCUUUCAAUCAGUAUAUUCUGCUCUUAACCUCCAUUGUUUCUAAAAUUCAUCCUUUGGUUUUAAAGAACAUGAACUCGUACCGGACAUACAGGAGGUUGGGACUUUCAUCCCCCUACAUCAUUUGCACUUAGCUACAUCCCCAACCCUUUUUUAAUUUUUUACUUUGAGACAGAGUCUCACUAAGUCACUUAUCUGGGCUGGGCUUGAACUUUUGAUCUCAGAAGUGCUGGCAUUAUAGGUAUUUGCCACCAUGCGCAGCUCUUAGCCACACAAUGCCUUUGAAAGGAGAAAGGGGGCUGUUUCAAUCUGUUUCUACCUGGGAUUGACCCAUCUCCGGACUCCGAGGGUAGAAGAGGCAUUCUCUCCUCUAAGCUUACGACGAAAGGCCUCCCUUCCUGGCAUUCAAUCCAUAAUGCAAGCCAGACUCAUUUUGUUAAUGCCUUGAUCUUGAUAUGAAAAUGCACAUGACACUCUAAGCCACCUCCUCAGUCUGGCCCAGACAGUGUGCCAACCUGCCCCAGCCCUCCCUCCCCAACCCUACCGCAAGCCAUGCAGUGUUCACCUGCUGAUUGAAAUAAUGCAAUUAGGGUUAUAGAAAAUCCAUUCCACAUGGUGCCAUCUGCAUUCUCUUCUGACAACUAAUUUGAUUGGCUCUCCGUAAUCAAUAAAGCACUCACACGACA